AUUGAACGCUGGCGGCAUGCUUUACACAUGCAAGUCGAACGGUAACAGGGAAAAGCUUGCUUUUCUGCUGACGAGUGGCGAACGGGUGAGUAAUACAUCGGAACGUGCCCUGUAGUGGGGGAUAACUACUCGAAAGAGUGGCUAAUACCGCAUACAACCUGAGGGUAAAAGUGGGGGGACCGCAAGGCCUCACGCUAUAGGAGCGGCCGAUGGAAGAUUAGGUAGUUGGUAGGGUAAAGGCCUACCAAGCCGACGAUCUUUAGCGGGUCUGAGAGGACGAUCCGCCACACUGGGACUGAGACACGGCCCAGACUCCUACGGGAGGCAGCAGUGGGGAAUUUUGGACAAUGGGGGCAACCCUGAUCCAGCAAUGCCGCGUGAGUGAAGAAGGCC
rnacentral:rRNA from 1 species